UAAGCGACUAAGCGUACACGGUGGAUGCCCUGGCAGUCAGAGGCGAUGAAGGACGUGCUAAUCUGCGAUAAGCGUCGGUAAGGUGAUAUGAACCGUUAUAACCGGCGAUUUCCGAAUGGGGAAACCCAGUGUGUUUCGACACACUAUCAUUAACUGAAUCCAUAGGUUAAUGAGGCGAACCGGGGGAACUGAAACAUCUAAGUACCCCGAGGAAAAGAAAUCAACCGAGAUUCCCCCAGUAGCGGCGAGCGAACGGGGAGCAGCCCAGAGCCUGAAUCAGUGUGUGUGUUAGUGGAAGCGUCUGGAAAGGCGCGCGAUACAGGGUGACAGCCCCGUACACAAAAAUGCACAUGCUGUGAGCUCGAUGAGUAGGGCGGGACACGUGGUAUCCUGUCUGAAUAUGGGGGGACCAUCCUCCAAGGCUAAAUACUCCUGACUGACCGAUAGUGAACCAGUACCGUGAGGGAAAGGCGAAAAGAACCCCGGCGAGGGGAGUGAAAAAGAACCUGAAACCGUGUACGUACAAGCAGUGGGAGCACGCUUAGGCGUGUGACUGCGUACCUUUUGUAUAAUGGGUCAGCGACUUAUAUUCUGUAGCAAGGUUAACCGAAUAGGGGAGCCGAAGGGAAACCGAGUCUUAACUGGGCGUUAAGUUGCAGGGUAUAGACCCGAAACCCGGUGAUCUAGCCAUGGGCAGGUUGAAGGUUGGGUAACACUAACUGGAGGACCGAACCGACUAAUGUUGAAAAAUUAGCGGAUGACUUGUGGCUGGGGGUGAAAGGCCAAUCAAACCGGGAGAUAGCUGGUUCUCCCCGAAAGCUAUUUAGGUAGCGCCUCGUGAAUUCAUCUCCGGGGGUAGAGCACUGUUUCGGCAAGGGGGUCAUCCCGACUUACCAACCCGAUGCAAACUGCGAAUACCGGAGAAUGUUAUCACGGGAGACACACGGCGGGUGCUAACGUCCGUCGUGAAGAGGGAAACAACCCAGACCGCCAGCUAAGGUCCCAAAGUCAUGGUUAAGUGGGAAACGAUGUGGGAAGGCCCAGACAGCCAGGAUGUUGGCUUAGAAGCAGCCAUCAUUUAAAGAAAGCGUAAUAGCUCACUGGUCGAGUCGGCCUGCGCGGAAGAUGUAACGGGGCUAAACCAUGCACCGAAGCUGCGGCAGCGACGCUGAUGCGUUGUUGGGUAGGGGAGCGUUCUGUAAGCCUGCGAAGGUGUGCUGUGAGGCAUGCUGGAGGUAUCAGAAGUGCGAAUGCUGACAUAAGUAACGAUAAAGCGGGUGAAAAGCCCGCUCGCCGGAAGACCAAGGGUUCCUGUCCAACGUUAAUCGGGGCAGGGUGAGUCGACCCCUAAGGCGAGGCCGAAAGGCGUAGUCGAUGGGAAACAGGUUAAUAUUCCUGUACUUGGUGUUACUGCGAAGGGGGGACGGAGAAGGCUAUGUUGGCCGGGCGACGGUUGUCCCGGUUUAAGCGUGUAGGCUGGUUUUCCAGGCAAAUCCGGAAAAUCAAGGCUGAGGCGUGAUGACGAGGCACUACGGUGCUGAAGCAACAAAUGCCCUGCUUCCAGGAAAAGCCUCUAAGCAUCAGGUAACAUCAAAUCGUACCCCAAACCGACACAGGUGGUCAGGUAGAGAAUACCAAGGCGCUUGAGAGAACUCGGGUGAAGGAACUAGGCAAAAUGGUGCCGUAACUUCGGGAGAAGGCACGCUGAUAUGUAGGUGAAGUCCCUCGCGGAUGGAGCUGAAAUCAGUCGAAGAUACCAGCUGGCUGCAACUGUUUAUUAAAAACACAGCACUGUGCAAACACGAAAGUGGACGUAUACGGUGUGACGCCUGCCCGGUGCCGGAAGGUUAAUUGAUGGGGUUAGCGCAAGCGAAGCUCUUGAUCGAAGCCCCGGUAAACGGCGGCCGUAACUAUAACGGUCCUAAGGUAGCGAAAUUCCUUGUCGGGUAAGUUCCGACCUGCACGAAUGGCGUAAUGAUGGCCAGGCUGUCUCCACCCGAGACUCAGUGAAAUUGAACUCGCUGUGAAGAUGCAGUGUACCCGCGGCAAGACGGAAAGACCCCGUGAACCUUUACUAUAGCUUGACACUGAACAUUGAGCCUUGAUGUGUAGGAUAGGUGGGAGGCUUAGAAGUGUGGACGCCAGUCUGCAUGGAGCCGACCUUGAAAUACCACCCUUUAAUGUUUGAUGUUCUAACGUUGACCCGUGAUCCGGGUUGCGGACAGUGUCUGGUGGGUAGUUUGACUGGGGCGGUCUCCUCCUAAAGAGUAACGGAGGAGCACGAAGGUUGGCUAAUCCUGGUCGGACAUCAGGAGGUUAGUGCAAUGGCAUAAGCCAGCUUGACUGCGAGCGUGACGGCGCGAGCAGGUGCGAAAGCAGGUCAUAGUGAUCCGGUGGUUCUGAAUGGAAGGGCCAUCGCUCAACGGAUAAAAGGUACUCCGGGGAUAACAGGCUGAUACCGCCCAAGAGUUCAUAUCGACGGCGGUGUUUGGCACCUCGAUGUCGGCUCAUCACAUCCUGGGGCUGAAGUAGGUCCCAAGGGUAUGGCUGUUCGCCAUUUAAAGUGGUACGCGAGCUGGGUUUAGAACGUCGUGAGACAGUUCGGUCCCUAUCUGCCGUGGGCGCUGGAGAACUGAGGGGGGCUGCUCCUAGUACGAGAGGACCGGAGUGGACGCAUCACUGGUGUUCGGGUUGUCAUGCCAAUGGCACUGCCCGGUAGCUAAAUGCGGAAGAGAUAAGUGCUGAAAGCAUCUAAGCACGAAACUUGCCCCGAGAUGAGUUCUCCCUGACCCUUUAAGGGUCCUGAAGGAACGUUGAAGACGACGACGUUGAUAGGCCGGGUGUGUAAGCGCAGCGAUGCGUUGAGCUAACCGGUACUAAUGAACCGUGAGGCUUAACCU
rnacentral:rRNA from 1 species